UCAAGUAGUCCAUUACCCAACCAGCAAAACCGAAGCUAUUGGAAAACUUUCCUGUGUGCCAAAGCGAGAGAGCAUGUCUUCUUUCUCUAGAUUUUGGACGGCACAACGCCGAUCUUGUGGCCUAUGAACGAAAAACGGGAGAAGGGGAAACCGAAAUCCUUCGAGUGACACACACACAUGCAUCUGCAUGCGGAUUCCGCUGAACCGAGACUACCCAUCUCUCUCUAUCUCCCAUGAUUUUUGUGCUAUCGCGCUCAUCCGGGUGUUAGGCAUCCUCAGUCUGUCCAGAACUUUCAUCGUGGAAGGAUGUGUUGGAGUGAUGUGUGAUUUCUUGUGCCCCGUGGUUUGCUCGUUUACGUUUUCUACCGUGUUCCUUCUUCUUCAAUUAUGGAAUGAUUUAUCCUUGUAAAUUUCUAAGGUAAGUUGUGCUAGUGUGUGCCUCAAUGGAAUGUAUUGAAUGUACAGCUAACGCUUGUCGUCUAAAAAGUUACAGGUGCACGCGCAUGAUAAUCGACGGUUACCUGUUGUCCUUGCCAACUUCCUACAAAACGAUCGACGGAAGGAAAACGGUGUCCAGUUUUAAAAUAUCAAGAUUUCAACACAGCUCUUUCGUAGGAGAGCGCACUUCAAGGACGCCAAGGAUACGGCUAAACAUGCGCAGCACCAGUCCGUGACGUCAUUUCCAGACAGGCGCCGGCUAAACAUGCGCAGCACCAGUCGAGGAUGUCCUAGCGAGAAGGGCAGAAGGAGGAACAAGAGGAAGGGUAACGGAACCGCUACAAUUGUAGGGGGUGAAGCAUCCAGCCGUGUACAGAGUGUGAGUGUGCCAAAACGCAUGUGGAAAGAGGAGGUCCAAUAAAUAGCAUGCGAAAGUGUGCAUAAAUACAGGGUGGCAUCGUAGAAGUGAUACACUUUGUUUUUGCAAUAAAAUUGACACCAGGAUUGAUUUCUCUUAGGAAUCGAUUGAAAUAGCUUCUAUUGGUACUAAACCUGCAUUUCAUUUAAUUUAUUUCAAAUCUUUCACCUUUACACUUGAUAACCGCCCGUAGGCGCUUUUGGAAAUCGUUGCAGGCCGCACGCACAACUUCAUCCAGCAUUUCGUCCCAUAUCUUUAACAACCGUUUCUUGAAUCCGUCCAAAUGCAAAUGUUUGAGGUCGCCCAACUUUUCAAGCGGAGAUACAUGCGGAGAGUAUGCAGAAGUCCAACGGGUUCAAAUAUGGAGACGACGCAGGCCAUUCCGAUGCACUGAUAAAAAAUAGCAAUAGCACAUUGCACCACUUCUGAAAGAUCGAAGCCUUACGGGCUGGAGGUGAAUCAUGUUGGAAGCAAAAGCUGUCGAUGCCAAAAAGCUUCUUAGCGUAUGGCUUCAAGUGGCCUUGAAAAACGUGUUCUAAAUAGUUCUCCUUGUUGAUCUUCACGCCUUUGUCGAGAAAAAAUAACGAAAUCUUCUCUUUGACUUAGAUAGCUCUCCAAACCAUCACAGCUAACGCAUUUUGAUACUGUUCGACUGUUCUUUUGACGGCUGUUAUAUCCCGAAUACAUGCUCCAUAUAUACGAUCA